UACGGAGGAGGCUAGCGUUGUUCGGAAUUACUGGGCGUAAAGCGCACGUAGGCGGCUUUGUAAGUUAGAGGUGAAAGCCCGGGGCUCAACUCCGGAACUGCCUUUAAGACUGCAUCGCUCGAAUUGUGGAGAGGUAAGUGGAAUUCCGAGUGUAGAGGUGAAAUUCGUAGAUAUUCGGAAGAACACCGGUGGCGAAGGCGGGUCUCUGGGCCGAUACUGGACGCUGAGGAGCGAAAGCGUGGGGAGCGAACAGG
rnacentral:rRNA from 1 species